rnacentral:ncRNA from 1 species
GUUAUUUGAGGUGGGAAAGGUUCCCCACGCGCUAUCUUAUUGAUAGUUACCAGAGAUCAGGAUUGCCGCCCUGCUUAUAAC